rnacentral:rRNA from 1 species
AGUGAACGUUGGCGGCGUGGAUUAGGCAUGCAAGUCGAGCGAGAACCGUUGCAAUACGGGGACAGCGGCGAAAGGUACAGUAAUGUGUAGGUACCUACCUCCGGGUUCGGGAUAGCUACGGGAAACUGCAGGUAAUACCGAAUAACGUCUCCGGACCAAAGGUGUGAUUCCACCUGGAGAGGGGCCUGCAUCCUAUUAGCUUGUUGGCGGGGUAACGGCCCACCAAGGCGACGAUGGGUAGCGGGUGUGAGAGCACGACCCGCGUCAUUGGGACUGAGACACUGCCCAGACACCUACGGGUGGCUGCAGUCGAGGAUCUUCGGCAAUGGGCGCAAGCCUGACCGAGCGACGCCGCGUGCGGGAUGAAGGCCUUCGGGUUGUAAACCGCUGUCGUAGAGGAGGAAAUGCAGGGGGGUUCUCCCCUCUGUUUGACCUAUUCUAGGAGGAAGUACGGGCUAAGUUCGUGCCAGCAGCCGCUGUAA